rnacentral:lncRNA from 1 species
AAGUCUAUGAUUUUACCACAGAUAACACAUAAUCCAGAUGGCUCCUUACGUGUUAAAAAUUGUCACCCCAAUUUCACUCCAAUUUGGAAAAAUAUUGGAGUGACGUUUGAAUAAUCUGAAAUUUUUAGAUUCCUUUUCUAACUUUUUUGGGAGGUUUUGCUUCUCUUGCACAGAUGUCGCUUGCACUUCAGUUGCGUGGUUGCCAAACGUUAUAUCGAAAUAUAUUUCAUUUCAUUAUGAAUAUAUAAAAUUAAAAAUUAUGUAAUUUAUAAACAUGAAAUAGAUAUGGAUGUUAGGUAAUACCGGAUGUUAAAUUAAUAUAUAAAUAUUUAACUUAAUACGUACAUUAUUAUUUUAUUAAUUUAUCGUCACACGUCAUUUACCAGUUGCCUAAUUACGAAAAGUUUCAUAUGAUAUUAACCUCAAAAUGAUCUUUGAAAACAAACAACAACAAAUAACUCAAAGAAAUAACUACAUACUACAUAAUAAUAACUGAUAAUAAUGACUUUUAAUGGUAUAAAGGCUGAUGAAGUUUUAGACAACCAAUACAAGAUUCAGAACUCGGCAUCGCGAUAAACAAGUAAAAUUGUACAUUCAGGAACUCGUUUAAAUAUUAUAGGUUGAUUGAAGAAUAAUCUACAAUUGAUUAGAGCCUAUGACGAUGUGAAGAUAAUUAAUCACCUAACUUUAAGAAACCAGCCUAAAGAAGUUUACAUGCAUCUCAUCUAACCAUUAUAGGUACAUUUUAUCUUCUAGAUCAGUAGUGAUUUUUCAUAAUUUGAAUGAAGUCACAGAUAGCAAUGGGGCACCGCACCGAAGCAGUAUUACAAAAUGUGAAAUAAAACUGUAGUACAUAUUGCUCUAUAAAAUUUAAUAGAAAUAAAUUUAUUUAUGAAAAUUAAUGAAGUUUUAUCUUUCCUAGGAAAAAAAUAACAAUUAUAUUUUGAACAAUUAAUUUAGAACAUUAGAGUUAAAAAAAUAUACCUAUGUGUUAGAAAUUGUAACACAUAUUUUCUUAACUCUAUGUUAUUCUAACUUAGAAUAACAUAUUUUUAAUAAAAUUGCGCUUAUACUUUAUACUUUUUUGCUAUUAUAUCAAUAAGAACUAACGUAAGGAGCAAUUCAUUUAUACUAUAAACACACAUGCAUAUUUUUUGAUCUUUUUAAAACCAGUGAAUAAUGUUGAAAUAUGCUACACCUAUUAAUUCUUAUUAACUAACUUUAUAGCUAGACAGUUGAAAAUUUUACAGAUAAUGUAUCUAUGUUGCCGCUAUAAGAACAAAUACUAAAAACAGAAUUAAAUAAAUGUUUAUAAAUAAAAAAGUACUUUCACUAAACAUUAUCGUUUAAGUACGAAUUUUACACAGAAUAUUCAAGUCCUCGAGUGGCCGUGUGGUUAAAGGCGUUAGGAUUUGAAGGCGUUGAGACGUAGUGAGGCAGGUUCGAAUCGUAGGCAAGGUGACUUUUUCUUAGUCUUUUUUUUUAUUUUUACAUAUUUUUACAUAUUUAUUUUUACUUAUUUAUUAUUGAUUAAUACAAUUUUUAGCAAUGUAUUUCUUCAUUUUUUUUAAAUUACUUACAAGCGCAUUCAAAAUUUCAGCUAAAUCGGAAAAAAGUUUACAAUAAUAUAAUGUCUGAUGUUGUAU